rnacentral:rRNA from 1 species
UACAUAGGGUGCAAGCGUUGUCCGGAAUUAUUGGGCGUAAAGAGCUCGUAGGUCGUUUGUUACGUCGGAUGUGAAAACCUGAGGCUCAACCUCAGGCCUGCAUUCGAUACGGGCAAACUAGAGUUUGGUAGGGGAGACUGGAAUUCCUGGUGUAGCGGUGGAAUGCGCAGAUAUCAGGAGGAACACCAAUGGCGAAGGCAGGUCUCUGGGCCAAUACUGACACUGAGGAGCGAAAGUCUGGGGAGCGAACAGGAUUAGAUACCCUGGUAGUCCAGACCGUAAACGGUGGGCACUAGUUGUGGGAACCUUCCACGGUUUCUGCGACGCAGCUAACGCAUUAAGUGCCCCGCCUGGGGAGUACGAUCGCAAGAUUAAAACUCAAAGGAAUUGACGGGGCCCCGCACAAGCAGCGGAGCAUGCGGCUUAAUUCGACGCAACGCGAAGAACCUUACCAAGGCUUGACAUAUAGGGAAAAGUGGCAGAGAUGUCAUGUCCGCAAGGGCUCUAUACAGGUGGUGCAUGGUUGUCGUCAGCUCGUGUCGUGAGAUGUUGGGUUAAGUCCCGCAACGAGCGCAACCCUCGUUCUGUGUUGCCAGCAUUUAGUUGGGGACUCACAGGAGACUGCCGGGGUUAACUCGGAGGAAGGUGGGGAUGACGUCAAAUCAUCAUGCCCCUUAUGUCUUGGGCUGCACGCAUGCUACAAUGGCCGGUACAGAGGGCUGCAAUACCGUAAGGUGGAGCGAAUCCCAAAAAGCCGGUCUCAGUUCGGAUUGAGGUCUGCAACUCGACCUCAUGAAGUUGGAGUUGCUAGUAAUCGUAGGUCAGCAACGCUACGGUGAAUACGUUCCCGGGGCU